AAUCUGAGGUGGCGACCGGCGCACGGGUGAGUAACACGUAUGCAACCUGCCUCGUAAGCGGGGAAGUAACCCGUUCGAAAGAACGGACGUAAUACCGACAUAAUACUAAAUUAACUGCAUGGUAAUUUAUUUAAACAUUUAUGGCUUACAGAUGGGCAUGCGCAUGAUUAGCUAGUUGGAGAGGUAACGGCUCCCCAAGGCAACGAUCAUUAGGGGUUCUGAGAGGAAGGUCCCCCACACUGGUACUGAGACACGGACCAGACUCCUACGGGAGGCAGCAGUGAGGAAUAUUGGUCAAUGGACGAGAGUCUGAACCAGCCAAGUCGCGUGCAGGAAGAAUGUCCCUAUGGAUUGUAAACUGCUUUUGCAGGGGAAUAAAGUGCAUCACGUGUGAUGUUUUGUAUGUACUCUGCGAAUAAGGAUCGGCUAACUCCGUGCCAGCCGCUGC
rnacentral:rRNA from 1 species